rnacentral:misc_RNA from 1 species
CAUCAUUUCUCCUUCUCCUAGCAUCAUCAAUAGUAGAAGCAGGAGCAGGAACAGGAUGAACAGUCUACCCACCUCUAGCCGGAAAUCUAG